rnacentral:rRNA from 1 species
AGAGUUUGGACUCCGUGCGACAGGACGAACGCUGCGGCGUGCCUAACACAUGCAAGUCGAACGGAACUUAAGUUGAAGGAAUUCUUCGGAAGGACGAUUGGUUAAGUUUAGUGGCGGACGGGUGAGUAACGCGUGAGUAACCUGCCUCCGAGAGGGGAAUAACAAUCUGAAAAGAUUGCUAAUACGCAUAACAUAGCGAAGUCGCAUGGCAGCGCUAUCAAAGAUUUAUCGCUCGGAGAUGGACUCGCGUCCGAUUAGUUAGUUGGUGAGGUAACGGCUCACCAAGACCGCGAUCGGUAGCCGGACUGAGAGGUUGAACGGCCACAUUGGGACUGAGACACGGCCCAGACUCCUACGGGAGGCAGCAGUGGGGGAUAUUGCGCAAUGGGGGAAACCCUGACGCAGCAACGCCGCGUGAAGGAUGAAGGUUUUCGGAUUGUAAACUUCUUUUAUUAAGGACGAAAAAUAGACGGUACUUAAUGAAUAAGCUCCGGCUAACUACGUG